GUUACUCCUCUUCAACAAACAUCUGGAGUCUUAAUAACAUUUUGUCAUAAAUUAGAUGGGUUUACCUACUUAAAUUAUAAGUUUCCACUACAUAUAGCAGCAGUUACUGUAUGUAUAAGGUCACAUAACUGCCACCUAACACAUAAUUGCUCUUCUGCCCACACAACUUAGUUAGAAUAUCUCAACAAUCAACAUUGCAGUAAAGGCAAGACAACAGCACUUAAAGUAUGUAGCAAGAUUAAGCACCACAAAUUCUUCAAAUAUGCAUUCGAGGCACUUCGAGAUGAUUUACACCUUCCCGAGAAUGUCACCACCCUCCUGGAGUGAUAUCUUUACAGCCAGGAAAAUACCACAUCGAUCAAUAAUGCCCAUGGGGGACACAAUGCCCUGCUCCACACUGCAUCUUAGAAUGCUUAGUUUACAGUCAACUCGGCCCACUAACCAACUCUGCCCACCGUCCAAGGACAAACUCGUCCCGCUCCUAAACUGACUAAUCUAAGUUAGGAACCAUGACUACGUUCUAUCUUUGCAAAGUUUGA